rnacentral:rRNA from 1 species
AUUGAACGCUGGCGGCAGGCCUAACACAUGCAAGUCGAACGAGUGGCGGACGGGUGAGUAAUGUCUGGGAAACUGCCCGAUGGCGGGGGAUAACUACUGGAAACAGUAGCUAAUACCGCAUACCAUCGGAGGUGCCCCGGUGGGAUUGGCUAGGAGGGGGGGUAACGGCUCACCAAGGCGACGAUCCCUAGCUGGUCUGAGAGGAUGACCAGCCACACUGGAACUGAGACACGGUCCAGACUCCUACGGGAGGCAGCAGUGGGGAAUAUUGCACAAUGGGGGCAAGCCGGAUGCAGCCAUGCCGCGUGUAUGAAGAAGGCCUUCGGGUUGUAAAGUACUUUCAGCGAGGAGGCGUUACUCGCAGAAGAAGCACCGGCUAACUCCGUGCCAGCAGCCGCGGUAAUUC